rnacentral:rRNA from 1 species
GUUGGCGGCGUGGAUUAGGCAUGCAAGUCGAACGGGCCUGGUUGAAAGACCAGGUCAGUGGCGCAAGGGUGAGUAAGGCGACGGCAACCAACCCCAUGGUUGGGCAUAGCCGCGGGAAACUGCGGGUAAUUCCCAGCGAUGUUCGCGUCGGGCAUCCGGUGCGAACCAAAGUUUCGGCGCCGUGGGACGGGCCGUCGUGGUAUUAGGUCGUUGGCGGGGUAAUGGCCCACCAAGCCUCUGAUGCCUACCGGGCGUGCGAGCGUGGCCCGGCACACUGGGACUGAGACACUGCCCAGACUCCUACGGGAGGCUGCAGUCGAGAAUCUUCGGCAAUGGGCGCAAGCCUGACCGAGCGACGCCGCGUGGAGGAUGAAGGCCUUCGGGUUGUAAACUCCUGUCGAGGGGGAGGAAGGCGCAAGCUUGACCUAUCCCUGGAGGAAGCACGGGCUAAGUUCGUGCCAGCAGCCGCGGUAAGACGAACCGUGCGAACGUUAUUCGGAAUCACUGGGCUUAAAGCGCGUGUAGGCGGAUGGG